rnacentral:lncRNA from 1 species
GGAGUGCACCAUGUGAAGACUGGACUUAAACAGCUACACCACCAGAAGCCGAGAGAGAGGCUGGAACAUAGCCUUCCCUUUGGAGAAUAACUGGGAGAUGAAACAGGAAGCUCUAUGACACACUUGAUCGAAUAUGACAGACACUGAAAAUCACGACUCAUCCCCCUCCAGCACCUCUACCUGUUGCCCGCCGAUCACAGCCGGAAUGCAGCUGAAAGAUUCCCUGGGGCCUGGUUCCAACUGCCCACUGUGGACUCUGAGGCCUCUGCAUUUGCGGGUGGUCUGCCUGUGAUAUUUUGGUCAUGGGCUGGUCUGGUCGGUUUCCCAUUUGUCUGGCCAGUCUCUGUGUGUCUUAAUCCCUUGUCCUUCAUUAAAAGCAAAACUAAAGAAAA